GUUUUUGUUAUUUUUUUGCUGUUUAGUGCUAUCUAGGUUUAGCGAUAGGUUUAGUUAGCUUGGUUAGUUAGGUUAGUUAGUUAGUUAGCUUACUAGAAAGAAUAGGUAGAAGAAGAAGAGGAGAAGAAGAAGUAGAAGAAUAGGAGGAGGAGAAGACAAAAAGAAGAAUGGCAUAAGAAUGACAAAAAGAAGAAUGGUAU
rnacentral:lncRNA from 1 species